CAAGCAAGGGCACCCAUAAGAGAUGGACCUUGAGGGAUUCAACCUAACUAACUAGGCCCCCUGCAUGUGAGCUCAUCACAUGGCUGCCCGGCAAGAUACUACAUUUUCCAGUCUUCCAUGAGGAUAGAUGUGGUCACGUGACUGAGUCUGGGCCAAUGGGAUGUGUGUAGAUGUGAUGUAUAUUUAUCUCCAUAAAGAUGAAGCUGGUUGCCCUGAAUAUUCUGUCCAUCAGUUGGGAAGUGGCAAUGAAUGGAACAAUGCCUUGGGCCCCAAGACGGAUCCUGAGUAUGGCAGAGCUGCCCACCAGCCUAGGUUCCUAUAUGUCAUCAUGGGACAGAGCUGCCUUGUAG
rnacentral:lncRNA from 1 species